rnacentral:lncRNA from 10 species
GUGUUUAUAACAGCGCCCUUCCACGUAGUAGGUAGACAACAAAUGUCAGCUGUUCUUGCAUAGAUUUGGAUGUGAAGCAAAAGUGAAUGCUAAAAUAAGUGUGAUAACAUAAUUAGGAAAUAAGUGUUAAUCAUCAGUAUAAAUAAAUUCCAUGUUAGUUAUUUUCUCUUCACUUUCACAUAUUGACUAGUUGUCCUCUUAUUUUUUUUAAUCUAGCUGUGCUGUCGUCAUGCCUCAAACCCGAUCCCAGGCACAGGCUACAAUCAGUUUUCCAAAAAGGAAGCUGUCUCGGGCAUUGAACAAAGCUAAAAACUCCAGUGAUGCCAAACUAGAACCAACAAAUGUCCAAACCGUAACCUGUUCUCCUCGUGUAAAAGCCCUGCCUCUCAGCCCCAGGAAACGUCUGGGCGAUGACAACCUAUGCAACACUCCCCAUUUACCUCCUUGUUCUCCACCAAAGCAAGGCAAGAAAGAGAAUGGUCCCCCUCACUCACAUACACUUAAGGGACGAAGAUUGGUAUUUGACAAUCAGCUGACAAUUAAGUCUCCUAGCAAAAGAGAACUAGCCAAAGUUCACCAAAACA